AUGACUUUACUACAGACCACAACGCUCUCAGAUAAUCUUUUUAAAACCCAGAGCUGCUGGAAGAAAAUGUUUAAAGAAAAUAGACUUGUUCUUUUCUGUCUGUGCUUUUGUCAUCUGGUUGGUGUGUUUGGUGAUACAGACACAGUGAAGUCAGUGUCAGUGAAGGAGGGAGAUUCAGUCACUCUACAGAUUAAUGUUACUGAAAUACAGACAGAUGAUAAGAUUGAGUGGGUUACUGAAAUACAGACAGAUGAUAAGAUUGAAGUGGAAAUUCGGAACUGAGAGGAAUCUGUAGCUAAAAUUAAUGGAAAGACCAGUAAGAUAUUUGAUGGUCCUGAAGGGAGAUUCAGAGACAGACUGAAGCUGGAUCAUCAGACUGGAUCUCUGAUCAUCACAAACACCAGAACCACAGACUCUGGACUUUAUGAAGUGAAGAUCAGUAACAGCAGUUCAGAGGAUACACACAGAUUCAAUGUUACUGUGAAUGGUGAGUAGAGUUUUACAGGCCACUCGAUUAAAUUCUACAGAUUUUGAUAUAUUAAAAUAAUUAUUUUUAACAUUGAAAAAAAAAAAAAAUUAAAGUGAUUUUUUUUUCUUUUACACAUUUCUUUAUGACAGUAAUUCCAUGUCAAAUGCCUGAUAAUGAGAUAGGCCUCUUCUAGAAAAUUCAUGUGACUUUUUAAUACUGUUUAAUUUUUUUAUAUCAUGAAGCUCACUAAUGAAUAUGUCUUGCAAGCAUGGUCAGGUGCAAAUAUGAUGAACUAUCUCCACAUAAAAGAGUUUUUGUAUGCAUCUCCUCCACUGACUUCCAUUCAAACAGAAAUGCAUUUGGUCAAUCAGUUCACCUGGGGAAGUCUCUGGACUGAAUGGAUGCUUAAAAGUUUUAUCACAUGACAAAGCAGAAUGCGCUUGAUUAUUUGACAUAUAAAGAUAAUUGUACGAUAUAUAUACAUACAUACAUAUAUAUAUGUUUCAGACAUCAAAACUUCUUUCUCACAAAAAUUACUGAAUUUGUAUAUACCAAGCUGCAAAAUAGACUUGUUCUCUAUUUAUCGACAUUAUGAUAUUACACUAUGAAACAUGUCAAUAAAAUACUGUCUCCAUAGUAACAAAUUAUUGCCUCCAUGUCCAUGGAUGCCCAGUAGGUGAAGUGAUAAAAACAGGACAGUCUAUAUUUGGACAAGAAAUUAUUAGGACACAUUCUUGCUCUUUUAUCUGUCAAUAUAAUUGUUGGUCUCUGUCAACACACUAGACUGCCAUCUUUGAGAGUUUUAUUGCCUAAUUAUUUUAUUCUGUGUAUUGUGUCAUACACGGCUAUUUGACAGGUUGCUUGCUAUUCACAUUUACCAGAGCCAAAACCAAGCAUUUCAUUCUGAUUAUCAAGAGAUGGGGUGAAAAGUUUAUAAUGAAAUUAUUAAUUAAAUAAUGAGAUUAUCAUCACAAUAAGUAUACUUUAAUGCUGUGGUUUCAUAGUGUUUGUUACAGAUUAACUAUUUUCUCAUAUUGAUUUACUCACAAUAAUGUCUGUCUCUCUUAAGAUGCUACAACACCAGCUUCUUCAUCAACUCCUAUUCCACAUCGUAGUUCAGGUCCUCAUUCAGGUUCCCCUGCAUAUCCUUCUUCACAUCCUCCUUCACAUCCUCCUUCAGGUCCUCCUUCAGGUUCUCCUGUAGAUCCCUCUUCAGGUUCUCCAGAUAGUCCAGACAGAUUUCCGAUAGUGCUGAUCUCUGCUGCUGCUGCUGGAUCUCUGUUGCUUCUUGUUGCUGUCGGGAUCUUCUGUAUCUACAUGAAACAAAGAACAACUGAUCAACAUGGCAAGUAUUACCUACUGCUAAAACAUAUGAAAAAAUAUACUAAAUAUUAUAAUAUAUAUUAAAUAUUUGUAUACAUAAGUUUAUAAUUUAAUAAUAUGUCUUAAAUAAUGUUUCUUGUAUGAUGAAAAUAGAUUUAGUGAUUCAUUGCUGAAUUAAUGCAUCUUUUAUUAUUAUUUAAAUAGCUGAGACCCAUGAAGAGGAAAUCACUUACGCUGAUCCAACAUUCCACAAAAGAAAAGCACAGAAAUCGGUAAGAUUGUGUCAUCUGUGUCAUUUUCAGAAGAAUCACAUUUAGUGCGUUUAGUGUUUUUCAGUAUAAAUGAAAAUGGGUAUGCUUCCCAGUAAAACUACUAGUUUUGAAUGUUUGGGGUUACUAAAAAACAGGAAGCACUGUAUCUACACCAAAGAUAUGUAUAAGUAGAUGCACUUUUAGCAUCUGUUUUCAUGGGCCGUUUAUCCGCCAAAUUGGAAUGGUCAAAGGCAGUCCCUGAACACUCGAGUGCUAGUUGUCUGUAUGUCUGCAACACUAGUUAUAUGCAUGAAUAUCUGUAUCUGAAACAGACUAUAAUUUUGCUAAACUAACACGAUACAACAAGAUUAAGCUGUUAGCUAACUUCUUGAAACUCAUUGAUUGUUAUUGUGUGUGAUGACACAUUGAUUGUUCCAAGAUGACGAAUGCGUCGACCUGUCUGGAGUGCUCGAAUUCAGCAUCUAACUAUACAUAUCUAUGGUCUGCACUGACUAGGGGUGUCCAGACUCGGUCCUGGAGGGUUUAGCUUCAUCUUCCCUUAGCACACCUGCCUGUAAGUUUCUAGCAUGCCUACUAAGACCUUAAUUAGCUGGUUCAGGUGUGUUUAAUUGGGAUUGUAGCUAAACUCAGCAGGACACCGACCCUCCAGGACUGAGUUUGAGACCCCUGCUCUACAUCAUGUGUGACCAUUGUCAAUGCAAUGCAACAGCUUGAGUUUGUCUUCACUGGACAAAACAAAGCAACUGUUCAAAAUCCAGUAGUGCAAACGCUUAGAGUAUGCCAUAAAUAGAGGAGGGCAUUUUUUUUUUCUAUAUUUGUCAUGUCACGCUGCAUCCAGUGUAAACAGAAGCACUAGUUAUAAUGGGUUCUAUUCAUAGGGGUAACUUAGCCUAACAUUUGUGCUUGGAGGGCCAAACUGAGCAGUUGCACUUUUAAACACAUUUAAGUAUGUUUGUCAACACAAUUAGGCUUUUAUUAAGCAAGUGUGUUAAUCAAACAAUACUUUAAAACUGUUGGCAUUUGUUGGGUUUAAUUCAAGUUAAACGCCGUAUGACAGGUGCACGAACACUGUAUACAGUAUUUAUUUCAGUAGUUCAGUUUAGUAAAAAUGUAUGUUUAUUAUUAUUAUUAUCUCUUCUGCCAAGGAAUCCUGGCUCAAAGUGGUAGCAAUCACAGUUAACCAGUAGUAUAAAGCACACCAGGACAGGUUUUAAAAUCUAAGAUUUAAAGUCAUUCUUUGUUUUUGUCAUUGUGCACA
rnacentral:lncRNA from 1 species